GAGGGAAGGAGGGCGGGCGGUCCGAGCGGAGGCAGAGUUUGGAGGUGCGGAUACGCCGUCAGUGCGCGCAAACAGCGCGCAGCCGUGCCCGGCCGGCGCAAAUCCCGCGGCUCGCAAGUAAUUAAAACGCAGCGCUUAUGCGCUCACACACAUUUAUGCAACCGGGGCGAUGGGCUCAGCGUCUCAGAGCCACAAACCCAACAUCGUGGCCGUGCUUUGCACCUUCCAACCUGCUCGGGCACCUCGUGCCAUCCCGUUCUCUUGCCCGACCUGCUGCCCCCUGCACACCUUUGCUGAACGCUCUGGGAAUGCAUCGCCUAUUUUUUAAGCACUGAUUUUACUGGGUUUCUAACUCAGUGUGCGUAACACCUACAGUAAUGCAGCCCCAGCCCCGGCCAGUCUGGGUAGUGCUGCUCAGUAACGAUAGAGAGAGCAGCAUAUAGUCUGCUGCUUCCUCAGGUCUCACUCGGAAAGCAAGAGGAAAGCAGGACGGAAGGGGUUAUCUGGGACACUGAGCCCAGCCCCAGGUAACCUCAGGAGCCAGACACAUGCACGAAGUUGGUGCUGCCAUUAAGAUUCAUUCCUCAGGCAAAGGAGAAAGAAGAGGGUCAGAGAGAAAGAAGGCAGAGUUGGCCUUUCGUCACACAGCAGGACAAGGGGGACUCACCUUCCUCAGGGUCAGGGAGACUGAAAGUCUGUAAGGGUGGAUCAGUGGAAUGGAGAGCAGGUGGCCCUGCUGCCUGAACUACUUACACCUGAGUUGCUCCUAGCUCACAUUCUCAAACUGAAUAAAUCUCAGAUCAGUGUUGUGUUUUAAAAUGGCAUCACUCUGAGGGAAAAGAAAAGAAAAGAAAAAUACCAUUUGGAAGGUUUGGAUCGUGACUCAACACCUUAGCAGAGGGUGAGAGGGGAGCACUGAUCCCGUUGCUCCUCCGUGAGCUCCUUUCAGACUUCACAGCCAGAAGGAGGAAGCGAAGCAGUGAGAGC
ensembl:lncRNA